GCGAGACUGGGAGAUCUGGCCUGGUAUGACAGCCAGGAGGAACGGCGUUUCCUGGUGUCUACGGCUGAGCGUAUCACCCAGGUUGACCCCUAUAGUCGCACGUGGUGGGUGGGACUGACCAGUGACGUCACUGGACUGGCUGACGUCACCGCUGGGGGUGGGUGGAAAUGGGUCUCAGGGAAGAAGGCCGAGUCUGAUCUUAUUGACUGGGGGAAUCUUGAGCCGGCUGAUAGCGGUGUUCAAAACUGCGCGAAUUUAUGGACCAAAAGGGCGUCGCCAAAUAUUGGAAAG